GGCACAAGCGCCAAGAAUGGAAUCAGUUUUUCCAAGUCCUUCAUGAGGACAUUCUUUGCUUCCAAAGUCGAGGUGGCACCGGAAAGCCAGAUUACACAUCAAGAAUGCCAGGGCAGCCAGGGAAAUGCAGCGAAGAAAGGACAGUGAAUCCAGCAGCCAGGGCUCAUUAGUGGCCUGCAAGCAGCUGCUUCAGGGCCACAUAUUCAAAUCCAGCAUUUAAAGAGGUUUCCAUGAGCAAUUGGCUGAGAAAUGGAGGCUCCAAAGGUAACAGAUGCAUCCUGGUGACCCCAUGGGCUAUUGGAUGCUUGUGAUACUUCACUACACCAGAUAAAGAUUUGAAGUUCCAGGAAGUUAUUGGUCCAAAGUCACCUAGCAAGUUGUUAAUCGUCGCCAUCGUCAUCAGACUGGCUGCUAUUCACUGAGGACCUCCUCUGCACCAGAUUCCAAACUACGAGCUUUAUACCCACUUUGUGCUUGCUAAGGUGUCACCUCCCAGUGGCUCUCAGAGGCAGGGACAUUAUUAUCUCCCCUGUUUUGUAGAUGAGGACACUUAGAGAGAGGCAGAAUAACUCACCCAAGCCCACAUAGCUUGUAGGCAAUGGGAAAGGACUUCUAUCCAAGUGUGUUAAACUCUUCAAUUCCUGGUCUUCAACCCUAAGUCACAUUUCUCCACUGCUUAACAACUGAGCCUCAGAAGUCAGAUUUGAUGCCUUUCCUAUACAAAACAUUUAAGAUACAUCAAUUACAGAUGUUCACCUCAGUCUGUCUUAGCCUUUUCUCAACAUCAAGGUUUCUACAUCCUACAAGCAGAUCAUAUAAGGAGCUGUGUUGUGGUUUGGUUGUGAGGGGUCCCCCAAAAGCUCAUGUGUGAUACAAUGAAAUAAUUGGGUUGAAAGAAUCUUAACCCAAUCAGUGAUUUAAUCCCCUGAUAGGUAUUAACAGAGUGGUAACUGAAGUGGUAAGGUGCGGCUGGAGGAGAUGGGAAUUGCAGGGUGGCUUUGGGUAUAUAUUUGUAUCUGGCGAAUGGUGUCUUUCUCUGCUUCUUGAUCAUGAAGUGAGCUGUUUCCCUCUGCCACACACUCCACCAUGAUGUUCAACCUCAACUGGGGCCCCAAGGAAUGGCUCCUGCUGUCUAUGGAUGGAGACCUCUGAAACUGUGAGCCCUUAAAUAAACCUUUCCUCCUUACAGUA